UAAGCAUAUCAAUAAGCGGAGGAAAAGAAACCAACAGGGAUUGCCUCAGUAACGGCGAGUGAAGCGGCAACAGCUCAAAUUUGAAAUCUGGCUCCCCUUGGGGGUCCGAGUUGUAAUUUGGAGAGGAUGUUUCUGGCGCGGCGCCUUCCGGAGUUCCUUGGAACAGGACGCCACAGAGGGUGAGAGCCCCGUACGGUCGGCCGCCAAACCUCCAAAAGAAACUCCUUCGACGAGUCGAGUAGUUUGGGAAUGCUGCUCAAAAUGGGAGGUAAAUUUCUUCUAAAGCUAAAUACCGGCCAGAGACCGAUAGCGCACAAGUAGAGUGAUCGAAAGAUGAAAAGCACCUUGAAAAGAGGGUUAAACAGUACGUGAAAUUGUUGAAAGGGAAGCGCCUGCGACCAGACUCGCGCCCCGCGGACCAGCCGGCGUUCUCGCCGGUGCACUCCGCGGGGUGCGGGCCAGCAUCGGUUUUCCCUGGGGGAGAAAGGCCGCGGGAACGUAGCUCCUUCGGGAGUGUUAUAGCCCGUGGCGUCAUGCCCCAGGGGGGACCGAGGACCGCGCUUCGGCAAGGAUGC
rnacentral:rRNA from 1 species